GUGUUUGACCAUACCACCUGAAUGCCCAAUCUCAUCUCAUAUUGGAAGCUAAGCAGGGUUGGAUCUGGUUAGUACUUGGAUAGGAGAACAAUGUUAUAGUCU
rnacentral:rRNA from 1 species